rnacentral:rRNA from 1 species
UACAGAGGGUGCAAGCGUUGCUCGGAAUCAUUGGGCGUAAAGGGCAAGUAGGUGGUCUCAUUUGUCUGAUGUGAAAUCCUUGGGCUUAACCCAAGAAGUGCGUCAGAAACGGUGGGACUAGAGUUCUGGAGAGGGUCGUGGAAUUCCCGGUGUAGCGGUGAAAUGCGUAGAGAUCGGGAGGAACACCAGAGGCGAAGGCGGCGACCUGGACAGACACUGACACUCAACUGCGAAAGCGUGGGGAGCAAACAGG